UGCACCCCUGGUGUGUCUCUCAUUUCCCCCUAGGUUAAACAAACCAAUACAUGCCCUUUAACUUUCCAUGACAACACCACUGCCCUGUAACUCUCCUUUCCCUGUAACUUUCCCCUGGCAACACCGUGUUGAAAGUAACAUUAUCUGUCCGUCUGACAAGACAACUACAACCAUUUCAUCAAGGUGGUUGACUGACCACUUAUUCCAUUGAGGUACCUGGACAUGUCGACUGCAACACCGUUCAACAUGUGACUGCAUGGCAGUGACUGCGCAAAGGUAUUGUACCAAGCAAAGUAAAAGCUAGUAGCUAUCCGAAUGGUUGACAGACUCACCUUGCCAGUCUUGUGAUCAAACCAGAGGAGGGCAUGGUUCCGUGACAGAACCUUGCAGUCGAACGUGGCGUUGUUCUGAGCCGGUCGGCAUCGUGCCACAGAGCGCCCGAUCUUGACUGGCUCGUCCAGGUAGACAUGACGUUCCUGAAAAGGGUGUGAAUUCGGACGACAGGAGAAAACGGCCAGCGCUGAAGGCAUUGAUGAUGGCUUGGGAGUGUUACUCCAACCAGAGACUAAAGACAAGGUUUCUUGAUCCAGAAUGACAACGUUCUAAGUCUUCAAUCAUCGGCUGUUAAUUCAAUUUAGCCUAGCUAUUCCGCUGGCUGGCUAUUCUAUUUUGAGUUAAAGCACGAACUAGCUAUCAAACAUUAUAUUCAUUUUUUACGUUUUUCAACGAGAAACGUAACCAACACUGGUAAAUCAAAAAAAAAAAAAAAAAGAUUUUUGGGCUCUCUUUCCACAGAGCUACAUUACGUCCACUGAAUGUUAUUCAACACGACUAUGUACAGGUCAGAUCUCUGACUAGCCAGAAUCGCAUGACGAUAACAAUAGUAGCCGUCUAGAAAAUAUCUAAUCACGUCCAUCAAAAUGUACAGGGAAAUAAGCUAUAUUGAGCAGGCUAGUGUGGCACCCAAUCUUUAGCACAGCAACGGAUAAAUCCAGAUUGGUAGUUUAUACAAACUAUUUGACCAGUGCGGGGUUUCCGAUCCCUGCGCCUGGUGAUGAUACGGCUAUUGAAACACAACCGCUGUCAAUCUGACCGUGGUUUAACAGGUCAUUAAUACAUUGUUUUUCUAUAGAGUUUGUGUCAUUACGUUUUGUUUAUCCUACGCACUAUAGACGGGUGCGAUAUAAGAACAUCUGACCUUGUUUGUUAGCUAGCUCGCUAACCAGCUAAUGCAAACCCCUAGCCACUCCCAACUCAUGCAGACUAGCAAGCUAAUAUUGAGUUUCAGGGCCCUGAACAGCAACAAAUCUUUCUAAUCUCAAAGCUGAAAUGUUUCAAACUGCUGCAAAGACAACCCUUAAAUCUAAAAUGGGUAUUGCAGCGGGAUGUAGAGAUGAAUGUGCCUAAUACAAAAACCCUGCAGUUUGGCUGUUUGCUGGCAACUACCCAGAUAUAGCUAUAAAAAAAAAAAUGUAAAAAAAAAAA